UGACAAUUAUAUAAAGUGCCCAUAUCUCGUACGCGCAAUAUUGCAAUUUCAUCUCUCUCUCUCUCCUUCUCAUGUUCUUAACAUUGAGAAAGUGCGUAGACGCUCCGUGUUGUCGCCAGCAGCUCUCCUCUCAUCGUGCCGCGACACAAGGCUGUUCCUCUCUCUCACAUUUGCGGAAAUAGGCUAUUUCGUGUGAAAAUAGGGAGAUCGUUUUACUCCCUUCAAUCAAUUUCCUGAUAACGAAAAGGACAAUUGCUUUAACCCAGCGCAUUUGCUCCGAUCGGUUGGACGGCUCCUUUCAUUUUUGUUUUGCUUCAAUCGAAUUGUGAUCGGCUGCAGAAGAUUCACUGUAAAAGUUAUGGCUCUUGACAGCAUAAUAACUUCUCCUCAUAGAAGGUCACAGACACAGACAGCAUUUUCAUCUUCAGCCUCACUCAAGAGACAAUAUUCCCGAUGUGACGAGUUCGGAAGCUGCUCAACAUUACUUCAGCGCCACCGAUUCCUUCUAACUGCGCUUGGCCUCCUAGCUUUUCUCUGCACUAUCUAUCUCUACUUUGCAGUCACUCUGGGGGCUGGGGCUGGUGACUCAUGUUCUGGCUUGACAGGGACUCAAAAAGCAGCAUGUUAUGUGGAGCAUGGGAAAGCUCACAUGGGCAAAGGAAAACUUAAGUUCUUUUAGCAAAUCAUUGGCUUCUGGCUAAUAAUUUAGUACUAUAUAUAUGAUAUUUCUAUUUCUUCUGAGGGGCAUAAGCGCAAUCCAAAGUGUUUCUUUAGGUUUUUUGGGUCUAUUGGGUGGUCAUUAGUUUGGUUGUAUUCUUAAAAUGUAUAAUUUGGUGCGAGGAAACAGUUUAACAUCUGUUAAUAGUUGUCUCUGUUGGGAUGAACUCAACUCAUGGAUGCUGGGGAGGGCUGGCCGACUGUUAAGUUCUGUGGAACAUGAACUUGAAGAUGAUGUGAUUAUUAGUGUCUGGUAAAGAUAACAUUAUUAGGUGCAAAUGAACAAAAAAUUAAUAGCAAAACUAUCAUUCUUUGAGACUUCUA